GAUGAACGCUGGCGGCGUGCCUAAUACAUGCAAGUCGAGCGAACGGACGAGAAGCUUGCUUCUCUGAUGUUAGCGGCGGACGGGUGAGUAACACGUGGAUAACCUACCUAUAAGACUGGGAUAACUUCGGGAAACCGGAGCUAAUACCGGAUAAUAUUUUGAACCGCAUGGUUCAAAAGUGAAAGACGGUCUUGCUGUCACUUAUAGAUGGAUCCGCGCUGCAUUAGCUAGUUGGUAAGGUAACGGCUUACCACGGCAACGAUGCAUAGCCGACCUGAGAGGGUGAUCGGCCACACUGGAACUGAGACACGGUCCAGACUCCUACGGGAGGCAGCAGUAGGGAAUCUUCCGCAAUGGGCGAAAGCCUGACGGAGCAACGCCGCGUGAGUGAUGAAGGUCUUCGGAUCGUAAAACUCUGUUAUUAGGGAAGAACAUAUGUGUAAGUAACUGUGCACAUCUUGACGGUACCGAAUCAGAAAGCCACGGCUAACUACGU
rnacentral:rRNA from 1 species